GGCUGGUGUUGAGCAUGAUGAUGGCAAAGGACAGGACGUAGCAUGUGUCUGGAAAGAGGCAGAGGAAGAGCGGUUAAGCAGGAA